rnacentral:rRNA from 1 species
CAGGAUGAACGCUGGCGGCGCGCUUAACACAUGCAAGUCGAACGGUUAAAGCACCCUCGGGUGUGGAUAAAGUGGCGAACGGCUGAGUAACACGUGGGCAACCUGCCCCCCGCACCGGGAUAGCCUCGGGAAACCGUGGGUAAUACCGGAUACUCCGCCCACCCCGCAUGGGGAGGGCGGAAAGCAAUGCACGGCGGGGGAUGGGCCCGCGGCCUGUUAGCUCGUUGGCGGGGUAACGGCCCACCAAGGCGACUAUGGGUAGCCGGGUUGAGAGACCGACCGGCCAGAUUGGGACUGAGACACGGCCCAGACUCCUACGGGAGGCAGCAGUGGGGAAUCUUGCACAAUGGGCGAAAGCCUGAUGCCAGCGACGCCGCGUGCGGGAAGAAGGCCCUCGGGUUGUAAACCGCUUUCAGCAGGGACGAGGCGCAAGUGACGGUACCUGCAGAAGAAGCCCCGGCUAACUACGUGCCAGCCGCUGC